GACGAACGCUGGCGGCGUGCUUAACACAUGCAAGUCGAACGAAGAGCGAUGGAAGCUUGCUUCUAUCAAUCUUAGUGGCGAACGGGUGAGUAACGCGUAAUCAACCUGCCCUUCAGAGGGGGACAACAGUUGGAAACGACUGCUAAUACCGCAUACGAUCUAAUCUCGGCAUCGAGGAAAGAUGAAAGGUGGCCUCUAUGUAUAAGCUAUCACUGAAGGAGGGGAUUGCGUCUGAUUAGCUAGUUGGAGGGGUAACGGCCCACCAAGGCGAUGAUCAGUAGCCAGUCUGAGAGGAUGAACGGCCACAUUGGGACUGAGACACGGCCCAGACUCCUACGGGAGGCAGCAGUGGGGAAUCUUCCGCAAUGGACGAAAGUCUGACGGAGCAACGCCGCGUGAGUGAUGACGGCCUUCGGGUUGUAAAGCUCUGUUAAUCGGGACGAAAGGCCUUCUUGCGAAUAGUUAGAAGGAUUGACG
rnacentral:rRNA from 1 species